GAUGAACACUGGCGGCGUGCCUAAUACAUGCAAGUCGAGCGAAUGGAUUAAGAGCUUGCUCUUAUGAAGUUAGCGGCGGACGGGUGAGUAACACGUGGGUAACCUGCCCAUAAGACUGGGAUAACUCCGGGAAACCGGGGCUAAUACCGGAUAAUAUUUUGAACUGCAUGGUUCAAAAUUGAAAGGCGGCUUCGGCUGUCACUUAUGGAUGGACCCGCGUCGCAUUAGCUAGUUGGUGAGGUAACGGCUCACCAAGGCAACGAUGCGUAGCCGACCUGAGAGGGUGAUCGGCCACACUGGGACCGAGACACGGCCCAGACUCCUACGGGAGGCAGCAGUAGGGAAUCUUCCGCAAUGGACGAAAGUCUGACGGAGCAACGCCGCGUGAGUGAUGAAGGCUUUCGGGUCGUAAAACUCUGUUGUUAGGGAAGAACAAGUGCUAGUUGAAUAAGCUGGCACCUUGACGGUACCUAACCAGAAAGCCACGGCUAACUACGUGCCAGCCGCCGCGGUAA
rnacentral:rRNA from 1 species